rnacentral:rRNA from 1 species
UCCUACGGGAGGCAGCAGUGAGGAAUAUUGGACAAUGGGCGAGAGCCUGAUCCAGCCAUGCCGCGUGCAGGAAGACGGCCCUAGGGGUUGUAAACUGCUUUUCUACGGGAAGAAUAAGGGGUACUGGUACUUUGAUGACGGUACCGUAGGAAUAAGCAUCGGCUAACUCCGUGCCAGCAGCCGCGGUAAUACGGAGGAUGCAAGCGUUAUCCGGAAUCAUUGGGUUUAAAGGGUCCGUAGGCGGUUUAUUAAGUCAGUGGUGAAAGUUUCCGGCUCAACCGGGGAAUUGCCAUUGAUACUGAUGGACUUGAAUAGCUAUGAAGUAAUUAGAAUGUGUAGUGUAGCGGUGAAAUGCAUAGAUAUUACACAGAAUACCGAUUGCGAAGGCAGAUUACUAGUAGUUAAUUGACGCUGAGGGACGAAAGCGUGGGUAGCGAACA